GGGGGGGAUUUUUUUUUUUUAAAGGCAAAGUUGACCACUGUUCACUGCCCACGUGAUCAGUUGUAUGAGUACAAUGCUGCAUGCUAGUUGGUUACAUAAUACCCAAUUCAGUGACUGAAGGCGGUGAUAAUGGAUGGUGGUGUAUACAAGAUGGCACUGCUGUCUUUUGAACAGAGCCUGGCUCUGCAGCGCCACUUCAUCUUUUUAAACACCCCAGAGCUCUGUUUGUUGUUGGUCGUGUCUUUCCUUUGAAACUAGUCGCAAGAGAAGUUACGGUUCAGCGGAGCCAGCCACUCUGCAAUCGUAGACUGGAAGGAAGAUCCUGACAACACUGAAAAGGCUGUCGAGACAUGGAGUUGCUCUCUGGAAAGCUUUGGAACGAAUCAGCCAUGUUGGGCUGUGUGAAAUGCACUGAAGACAAAAGAGGGGGGAAAAUAGCCUACCUUUUGGAAAGCUGUGGAAUAAAAUCAGAGGGAAAGCCAGGGAACACUAUGAGAAGACACGCCUUUCCUCUGUCACAGACCAAGGUCAGAGGCACCAAUGAAUGGAAUACAUAUUUACCUACUUCAUCAUCUGGGGUCCUAGAAAUGAGAGGCUGGGUGGGGGAUGCUGUUUAACUCCUUCAGUGCCAACGGCUAGGCCUCCAACAGCAACGGUAUUGAUUAUGAUCAAAUAAAAAUUAUGGCAUAACUUCCCAGAUUAUUAAUAAUCUAGGGCCUUUGUUGCUGUUCCUGUUGACAGCCUGCAUUUUCCUCCAGUUAUGAACCCCUAGCAGUAAUUUAAAAGGCACGCAAAUAUACAAAAAGUCAAUUCGUAAAUUCAGAGGUUGGAAGGUAGAAAGUGACUGGAUUUAUGGAUUAUCUGUGGAUUUCUCUAUUAAUCCCCAGAUAAAUCCAUAAUUAGGGAUAUCCACACUAUCCCUAUUUACCAUUAACUAAUUCGUACCUAAUUUAACAGUGAACUUUUUUUUAACCCAUUAGCCUGUUGUUACCUGCCCCUUCACCAUGUCAAUACAAUUUCAAAUGGUUGUUUUACAAAAGCUUUCCUUUUUAAAUUUGAGUAUCAUGUAUUUUUUUAAAAUUACAGAAUAUGAAAUCUACAUCGGCACUGAUCUUUAUCACAGAAUAUUGUGUGCUUCUGUAUGGCACUGAGCAGCAUAAACCAACCCAUACAAGCUACAGAAAAGGUAUUUUAGGGCAAAAAAGUAUGGUAUGGGCAAAAUCAUUUUUGGAAUCAUGUAGACAUUGGGUCAUCUUCAGUACACAUCAAAUUUGUCACAAAGUCAGCCAUGGAAAUCCACUAGGAGGUGAUUUUCUUUUAGGUCAGACAAGGUCUGGAUAAGAGACUAUACAGGAUUCCUAGUUUAAAUUGGAAGCAUCAGUGCACUGGUUGAUCUCGUCUUUUGAAUGGACUUUAGAAGCUGGAUUGCAUAAUCGAAGAGCCUCCUCUAGCAAUUCAGUAGAAGCCCUUGAUGCUGAGAUAAGACAUCCUAUACAGAGUAAUAAUGUCCCAUUUGAAUAUUUCUAAAUAUACUUUGCAUUUUGGGGAAAAUGAAUUGUGUUAUAUAAUCUGUAGAUCCCACCACUUAAACACUUUUACUUAGCAGUGACUAUUUCAUUCAUUCUGACUAUCACUACUACCAGUUAACAUUCAGA